UACAGAGGGUGCAAGCGUUGUUCGGAAUUAUUGGGCGUAAAGCGCGUGUAGGCGGCCGUGCAAGUCGGGUGUGAAAGCCCUCGGCUCAACCGAGGAAGUGCGCCCGAAACUGCAUGGCUUGAGUACCGGAGAGGAUGGCGGAAUUCCCCAAGUAGAGGUGAAAUUCGUAGAUAUGGGGAGGAACACCGGUGGCGAAGGCGGCAUCCUGGACCGGCAUUGACGCUGAGGAGCGAAAGCUAGGGGAGCAAACGGGG
rnacentral:rRNA from 1 species